rnacentral:rRNA from 1 species
AACGAACGCUGGCGGCGUGGAUAAGACAUGCAAGUCGAACGCUCAUUCAUCUGCAGCAAUGUGGGUGAGUGGGAGUGGCGCAAGGGUGCGUAACACGUGGGUAAUUUGCCGCGAAGUUGGGGAUAACUCGCUGAAAGGCGAGCUAAUACCGGAUGGGGUUGGGUGGUGGCAUCAUUGGCCAACCAAAGUUGGGGACCCGCAAGGGCCUGACGCUUCGCGAUAAGCCCGCAACCUAUCAGCUAGUUGGUGAAGUAAUUGCUCACCAAGGCUAAGACGGGUAGCUGGUCUGAGAGGACGACCAGCCACACUGGAACUGAGACACGGUCCAGACACCUACGGGUGGCAGCAGUCGAG